AACGAACGCUGGCGGCGUGCCUAACACAUGCAAGUCGAGCGCGAAAAGGGCAACCUGAGUAGAGCGGCGCACGGGUGCGUAACACGUGGGUAAUCCGCCUUAGAGUCGAGGAUAACCUUCCGAACGGUUGGCUAAUACUCGGUAAGCUUACGGUGUCUUCGGACGCUGUGGGAAAAGUAGGCCUCUGUUUACAAGCUUACGCUCUGAGAUGAGCCCGCGGCCCAUCAGCUAGUUGGCGGUGUAACGGACCACCAAGGCAACGACGGGUAGCUGGGCUGGUAGUACGAUCAGCCACACUAGAACUGAGACACGGUCCAGACUCCUACGGGAGGCAGCAGUGGUGAAUUUUCCACAAUGGGCGAAAGCCUGAUGGAGCAACACCGCGUGUGUGAUGAAGGUUUUCGGAUCGUAAAGCACUUUCGACUGGGACGAAAAACCUUUGGCUAACAUCCAGGGGCCUGACGGUACCAGGAGAAGAAGCACCGGCUAACUCUGUGCCAGCAGCCGCCGUAACAC
rnacentral:rRNA from 1 species